UGGAGCGGCUGCACAGAGCGU
rnacentral:miRNA from 1 species